rnacentral:sRNA from 1 species
GUGGGUCGCUCGGUUAGUGACCUGGAACAGUAGGCUGAGAUUCGCUACAAACCGUUCGACGUCUCUUACUUUCCUGCAACCCAGCCCAGUGUUCUUUCAUUGCAAAUCGAUGAAGGAAACUGUAAUCACAAUUCAAAGUUUCAAAGGGAAUAAGACAUGGCUGAACGUCAGAGCGGUACCGUCAAGUGGUUUAACGACGAGAAGGGUUUCGGUUUCAUCACUCCUGAGAGCGGUCCGGAUCUGUUCGUACACUUCCGCGCCAUUCAGGGCAGCGGCUUCAAGAGCCUGAAAGAAGGCCAGAAAGUGACCUUCGUCGCUGUGCAAGGCCAGAAAGGCAUGCAGGCUGACGAAGUGAUCGCUGAAAACUGAGUUUUCGCACGCCCCGAAAGCCCCUGUCUUCGACAGGGGCUUUUUU